rnacentral:rRNA from 1 species
GACGAACCGUGCGAACGUUGUUCGGAAUCACUGGGCAUAAAGGGCGCGUAGGCGGCUUUUCAAGUCAGGGGUGAAAUCCGGCAGCUCAACUGUCGAAGUGCCCUUGAUACUGAUGAGCUCGAGGGAGGUAGGGGUAUGUGGAACUUCCGGUGGAGCGGUGAAAUGCGUUGAUAUCGGAAGGAACGCCGGUGGCGAAAGCGACGUACUGGACCUCUUCUGACGCUGAUGCGCGAAAGCCAGGGGAGCGAACGGG